UACGUAGGGUGCGAGCGUUGUCCGGAAUUAUUGGGCGUAAAGAGCUUGUAGGCGGUUUGUCGCGUCUGCUGUGAAAAUCCGGGGCUCAACCCCGGACUUGCAGUGGGUACGGGGCAGACUAGAGUGUGGUAGGGGGAGACUGGAAUUCCUGGUGUAGCGGUGAAAUGCGCAGAUAUCAGGAGGAACACCGAUGGCGAAGGCAGGUCUCUGGGCCACUACUGACGCUGAGAAGCGAAAAGCAUGGGGGAGC
rnacentral:rRNA from 1 species